GGAGAGGUGGCAGAGUGGUCGAAUGUACCUGACUCGAAAUCAGGCAUACCGCAAGGUAUCGAGGGUUCGAAUCCCUCCCUCUCCGCCA
rnacentral:tRNA from 3 species